rnacentral:tRNA from 1 species
GACCCCAUAGUUCAACGGAUAGAACGAAAGCCUUCUAAGUUUUAGAUCUAGGUUCGAUUCCUAGUGGGGUCA